AAGGCACCGGUUUUUGAUACCGGCAUUCCCUGGUUCGAAUCCAGGUAUCCCAGCCAAUUUUGAUGAUUCUCGAUG
rnacentral:tRNA from 1 species